CGGGCGUAGCAAUACGUCAGUGGCGGACGGGUGAGUAAUAUAUAGCUAACGUACCCCGGAAUCUGGGAUAGCUGUCCGAAAGGACAGGUAAUACCAGAUGAUAUAACCGUGUCGCAUGGCAUGGUUCUCAAAGGGAAACCGUUCUGGGAUCGGGCUAUAUCGUAUCAGCUAGUUGGUAAGGUAAUGGCUUACCAAGGCUUUGACGCGUAGCCGGACUGAGAGGUCGGCCGGCCACAUCGGAACUGAGACACUGUCCGGACUCCUACGGGGGGCUGCAGUAACGAAUCUUCCACAAUGCACGAAAGUGUGAUGGAGCGACGCCGCGUGUGGGAUGAAGUCCUUCGGGAUGUAAACCACUGUCAGGGGAAAGAAAGAUCUGAUCUACCCCAGAGGAAGUGGCGACUAACUCUGUGCCAGCAGUCGCGGUAAUACAGAGGCCACAAGCGUUAGACGGAAUCACUGGGCUUAAAGCGUGUGUAGGCGGGAUGGUAAGUACCUUGUGAAAUCCCACAGCUUAACUGUGGAAAUGCUUGGUAUACUGCCGUUCUUGAGUCACCUAGGGGCAGCUGGAACAGAUGGUGGAGCGGUGAAAUGCAUAGAUAUCAUCUGGAACGCCAAUGGUGCAGACAAGCUGCUGGGGGUGUACUGACGCUGAGGCACGAAAGCCAGGGGAGCAAACGGGAUUAGAUACCCCGGUAGUCCUGGCCCUAAACGAUGUCCACUAGAUCGUGGCGGUUUUGACGCCGUCAUGGUCGAAGCAAAAGUGUUAAGUGGACCGCCU
rnacentral:rRNA from 1 species